rnacentral:rRNA from 1 species
GAUGAACGCUAGCGGCAGGCCUAAUACAUGCAAGUCGGACGGGAUUGGAGGGCUUGCUUUCCAUGAGAGUGGCGCACGGGUGCGUAACACGUAUGUAACCUACCCAUAUCAGGGGGAUAGCCUCUCGAAAGAGAGAUUAAGCCCGCAUAACAUCAGGGGACAGCAUUGUUUGUGAUCAAAUAUUUAUAGGAUAUGGAUGGGCAUGCGGAACAUUAGCUAGUUGGCGGGGUAACGGCCCACCAAGGCGACGAUGUUUAGGGGAUCUGAGAGGAUGGCCCCCCACACUGGUACUGAGACACGGACCAGACUCCUACGGGAGGCAGCAGUAAGGAAUAUUGGUCAAUGGGCGGAAGCCUGAACCAGCCAUGCCGCGUGCAGGAAGACG